AUUGAACGCUGGCGGAAUGCUUUACACAUGCAAGUCGAACGGCAGCACGGACUUCGGUCUGGUGGCGAGUGGCGAACGGGUGAGUAAUGUAUCGGAACGUGCCCAGUCGCGGGGGAUAACGUAGUGAAAAUUACGCUAAUACCGCAUACGAUCUAUGGAUGAAAGCGGGGGAUCGCAAGACCUCGCGCGAUUGGAGCGGCCGAUAUCAGAUUUGGGAGUUGGUGGGGUAAAGGCCCACCAAGCCAACGAUCUGUAGCUGGUCUGAGAGGACGACCAGCCACACUGGAACUGAGACACGGUCCAGACUCCUACGGGAGGCAGCAGUGGGGAAUUUUGGACAAUGGGCGAAAGCCUGAUCCAGCCAUUCCGCGUGCAGGAUGAAGGCCCUCGGGUUGUAAACUGCUUUUGUACAGGACGAAAAGGUUUCUACUAAUACUAGGAGCUCAUGACGGUACUGUAAGAAUAAGCACCGGCUAACUACGUGCCAGCCGCCGCAGUAA
rnacentral:rRNA from 1 species